rnacentral:rRNA from 1 species
AGUGAACGCUGGCGGUAGGCCUAACACAUGCAAGUCGAACGGCAGCACAGUAAGAGCUUGCUCUUACGGGUGGCGAGUGGCGGACGGGUGAGGAAUACAUCGGAAUCUACUUUUUCGUGGGGGAUAACGUAGGGAAACUUACGCUAAUACCGCAUACGACCUACGGGUGAAAGCAGGGGAUCUUCGGACCUUGCGCGAUUGAAUGAGCCGAUGUCGGAUUAGCUAGUUGGCGGGGUAAAGGCCCACCAAUGCGACGAUCCGUAGCUGGUCUGAGAGGAUGAUCAGCCACACUGGAACUGAGACACGGUCCAGACUCCUACGGGAGGCAGCAGUGGGGAAUAUUGGACAAUGGGCGCAAGCCUGAUCCAGCCAUACCGCGUGGGUGAAGAGGGCCUUCGGGUUGUAAAGCCCUUUUGUUGGGAAAGAAAAGCAGCAGGUUAAUACCCCGCUGUUCUGACGGUACCCAAAGAAUAAGCACCGGCUAACUUCGUG